ACAGGAAAUGUUCCUUGAGGUAAUUUAGUUGUCAAAAGCUCCCUAAGCCUCCUAACGGCUUUGACCUUGUUGGCUAAUAUAUCAAGUAAAGGCAAAAGCUCCUCAGUUUUCAAUGGAAAAUCUGGUGUCAGCCACAAGACAGGUCUCAAACCCUUCUUGUACUCACUUUCAUGCUUAGACUCACUACUGGCCCCUUUCUUCUUCUUCUUCUUGCUGCUUUUAUCCUUUCCUUUCUUGCCAUCCCCCAACUCCUCCCUAGCAAUUUCAGAUGACGGUUUUUGAUUGUCUAUGGAUUUCUGGUUCCCACCUUCAGGUGCCAA
rnacentral:misc_RNA from 1 species